ACGCUGGCGGCGUGCCUAAUACAUGCAAGUAGAACGCUGAAGAGAGGAGCUUGCUUUUCUUGGAUGAGUUGCGAACGGGUGAGUAACGCGUAGGUAACCUGCCUUGUAGCGGGGGAUAACUAUUGGAAACGAUAGCUAAUACCGCAUAACAAUGGAUGACCCAUGUCAUUUAUUUGAAAGGGGCAAAUGCUCCACUACAAGAUGGACCUGCGUUGUAUUAGCUAGUAGGUGAGGUAACGGCUCACCUAGGCGACGAUACAUAGCCGACCUGAGAGGGUGAUCGGCCACACUGGGACUGAGACACGGCCCAGACUCCUACGGGAGGCAGCAGUAGGGAAUCUUCGGCAAUGGGGGCAACCCUGACCGAGCAACGCCGCGUGAGUGAAGAAGGUUUUCGGAUCGUAAAGCUCUGUUGUAAGUCAAGAACGAGUGUGAGAGUGGAAAGUUCACACUGUGACGGUAGCUUACCAGAAAGGGACGGCUAACUACGUGCCAGCAGCCGCGGUAAUACGUAGGUCCCGAGCGUUGUCCGGAUUUAUUGGGCGUAAAGCGAGCGCAGGCGGUUUGAUAAGUCUGAAGUUAAAGGCUGUGGCUCAACCAUAGUUCGCUUUGGAAACUGUCAAACUUGAGUGCAGAAGGGGAGAGUGGAAUUCCAUGUGUAGCGGUGAAAUGCGUAGAUAUAUGGAGGAACACCGGUGGCGAAAGCGGCUCUCUGGUCUGUAACUGACGCUGAGGCUCGAAAGCGUGGGGAGCGAACAGGAUUAGAUACCCUGGUAGUCCACGCCGUAAACGAUGAGUGCUAGGUGUUGGAUCCUUUCCGGGAUUCAGUGCCGCAGCUAACGCAUUAAGCACUCCGCCUGGGGAGUACGACCGCAAGGUUGAAACUCAAAGGGAAUUGAC
rnacentral:rRNA from 1 species